CCGCCCCAGGCUCGAGGGUUGCUGACGGAGAUCCGCGCCGCGGUGCGCACCGAGCCCUUCCAGGACAGCGAAAGUGAGCCCGGGCCGGGAGCUGGGCAGGGGGAAAUUUGCAGUGGUGAGAAAAUGUGUAAAGAAAGAUUCUGGAAAAGAAUUUGCAGCAAAGUUCAUGAGAAAAAGAAGAAAAGGCCAAGACUGUCGGAUGGAAAUUAUUCAUGAGAUUGCGGUGCUCGAGCUGGCCCAGGACAGCCCUUGGGUCAUUAACUUACAUGAAGUCUAUGAGACUCCAUCAGAAAUGAUCUUGGUUCUGGAAUAUGCUGCAGGGGGUGAAAUCUUUGAUCAGUGUGUCGCAGACCGAGAAGAUGCCUUUAAAGAAAAAGAUGUUCGGAGACUCAUGCGACAGAUUUUAGAAGGUGUGCACUUUCUACACACUCAUGAUGUAGUUCAUCUUGAU